GCCUGGGUGGCUCAGUCGGUUAAGCAUCUGACUUCGGCUCAGGUCAUGAUCUCGUGGUUUGUGAGUUCAAGCCCCGCAUCGGGCU
rnacentral:tRNA from 1 species